rnacentral:rRNA from 1 species
UACGAAGGGGGCUAGCGUUACUCGGAAUCACUGGGCGUAAAGGGUGCGUAGGCGGGUCUUUUAAGUCAGGGGUGAAAUCCUGGAGCUCAACUCCAGAACUGCCUUUGAUACUGAAGAUCUUGAGUUCGGGAGAGGUGAGUGGAACUGCGAGUGUAGAGGUGAAAUUCGUAGAUAUUCGCAAGAACACCAGUGGCGAAGGCGGCUCACUGGCCCGAUACUGACGCUGAGGUGCGAAAGCGUGGGGAGCAAACAGGG